rnacentral:rRNA from 1 species
GCUGGAAUCGCUAGUAAUCGCGGAUCAGCACGCCGCGGUGAAUACGUUCCCGGGCCUUGUACACACCGCCCGUCACACCAUGGAAGUCUGCAAUGCCCGAAGCCGGUGGCCUAACCACUUAUGUGGAAGGAGCCGUCUAAGGCAGGGCAGAUGACUGGGGUGAAGUCGUAACAAGGUACC